GAGCGCCGAAAGGCCCUGCGUGAGGAAAGUCCGGGCUCCACAGGGCAAGGAUAACGGGUAACACCCGCCGGGGGCGACCCCAGGAAAAGUGCAACAGAGAGAUACCGCCGCGGUUUUUCGCGGUAAGGGUGGAAAGGCGAGGUAAGAGCUCACCCGCCACAUGGGAACAUCGUGGCGCUGUAAACUCUAUCCGGAGCAACACCGUGGAGGAAACGCAAGGCCGGCCCGGCUGUUUCCGAGGAGGUGGCUUGAGCGCAGCGGCAACGCUGCGCCUAGACAGAUGGCUGUCACGACAGAACCCGGCUUACAGGACCGAU
rnacentral:RNase_P_RNA from 1 species